rnacentral:rRNA from 1 species
CACCGCGGUUAUACGAAGGACCCAAGUUGAUGGUCGCAGCGUAAAGCGUAGUUAAGACUUAAGAAAUAUAGGGUCGAGUAGCCUCUAAACAGUGAAAUGUACACGAGCCCCCUAAGCACCAUUAUAAACAUGGCCCUAGCUCAUCUGACCCUACGAAAGCUAUUACA